rnacentral:lncRNA from 1 species
UUUUUUUUUUUUCUUUUUUUUUUUUUUUCCUUUUUGCAGGUGGGCUUUCCCUAUGGUUCAGGUGCCACAGCUACCAAGUCCUGGGUGAUCUGAUCUAGUCCUGUGUGCCUUCCCUUGAGAGAAAGCCCUGACUUUUCUGGCUGAUUUUGCAAACUUGCCAAGCACCUGUCUUACAUUUCUUAUGAGGAUUCAGUUUAAGAGGUCAGAUCCCAGCAAAUAAAAAUUAGAACGUUUUGCUAAUCAUGCCUGACAAUCUUGUGAUUUUAAGUAGGAAAAAAAAAUUUUUUUUUAACUUUAAGCCCUGGCCAAAUCAUGAAUUAAGACAUGGAUGGCUUCUUUGACUCUCCUCAUCUCACUGUGCAUUGCGAGGCACAUCUUGAGAAUGAAGUGUAUCUGUGUGCACCUCAACCAAGGGUUUCUUUUAUUAUAGCUCUCAGCUGUUAUCAUAAGUAUUCUCUCAGUUAUAUGUGUGGGAGGGCUUACAUUUGAGGUUUCUUUCAUUUAAAAAAUAUUAAAGAUUAUUAAAGAAUAAAAAGUCAUCCUUUUAUAGGGCUGGGGACUGAAAAAGGCCCAAGGGUUUGAGAGUUUCUAAAUGUCAUCAAAAGGUUUUCCAGGCCCAACCUGAAAUCAGAGUCUUGAAAGUUAGGUUAGGUGGGUUAUGUCACUAUAUCCGUGAGGUUCCCUUAUGUGACCUGAGAGGCUCCACUGCACUGCCAGGGACACAGGUAGCAUCCUCACCUUCCUCAAUAGAGAUGUGCUCCUUAAUGCCCCUUCAUCAAUUGAACGAAAGGGAUGUGGUCUUAAAGAGCCACCAGUACAAUCCCUACUUUAUCCAGGUCUUUUACCACUUGGCUAUGCAUGGUAAGCACCCUGAUUCUGGGAUCUAGCACACCCAUGAAGGGAGUAAGCUGACUGCAGCUUCAUAGCAGAGAGAGCAGCAGCCUCUGAAAUCCCAAUCCCAGCACUGGUGAUGCUGACCAUGACUUAACUCCACAUGUGUAGCGCACUGCUUGCCUGUUCCCAGGCACACUGCAUCUUUCUAGCUCUAUUCCAUACCUUUGCUGCUCUUUAACUUUGGUGAGUGAGCUAUGUGGAAAAGGUUGUAACACACAUGAGACGAGGAACAACUGGUCCAUGUGUUGCCACAUCAUCCAGCGUCCAGUCCAGCCCAGCCCAGCCCUACCAAGUGUAGCCAGCACUAGUCAGUAACACAAUCCUCCUUUUUAUUAAAUCAAGAUUUGGAUGUGGCCUCCGUCCUACCUUAGUGUUCCAGGUAAUUAUCACCAACUUGAGUGGCAAUCCUACUUAAAACCCCUUUACUGGCUCUGAUCUUGACCUUAUAACAAGUAAGGUUGCUUUGUGCACCCACACGGAAAGAUGUCAGGCUGAAGGAGAAAUAGUUUAUAAGUCAGUCUUUAAAAAUAAUACAAAUAAUAAUUAAAUCGUUUUACCCCUUUAAGGAUAUGUACCAUAAAUAGUUUUUUAUUCUGUUUUAUUGUUAGUUUUUAAGCAAAAGGAAAACCUGGUUUGUUGAAUAGUAGCC